rnacentral:rRNA from 1 species
GAUGAACGCUAGCGGCAGGCUUAAUACAUGCAAGUCGUGGGGCAGCAUGAAUGUAGCAAUACAUUUGAUGGCGACAGGCAAACGGGUGCGGAACACGUACACAACCUUGCUAUAAGUGGGGAAUAGCACAGAGAAAUUUGGAUUAAUACGCCGUAACAUAACGAUGGGGCGUCACAUUGAUAUUAUAGCUUCGGCGCUGAUGGAUGGGUGUUCGGCUGAUUAGAUAGGUGGCGGGGUAACGGCCCACCAAGUCUACGAUCAGUAGCUGAUGGGAGAGCAUGAUAAGCCACACGGGCACUGAGACACGGGCCCGACUCCUACGGGAGGCAGCAGUAAGGAAUAUUGGUCAAUGGACGCAAGUCUGAACCAGCCAUGCCGCGUGAAGGAUUAAGGUCCUCUGGAUUGUAAACUUCUUUUAUCUGGGACGAAAAAAGGCUUUUCUAAGUCACUUGACGGUACCAGAUGAAUAAGCACCGGCUAACUCCGUGCCAGCCGCCGCAGUAACAC